rnacentral:rRNA from 1 species
UACGAAGGGUGCAAGCGUUACUCGGAAUUACUGGGCGUAAAGCGUGCGUAGGUGGUUCGUUAAGUCUGAUGUGAAAGCCCUGGGCUCAACCUGGGAAUGGCAUUGGAAACUGGCGACCUAGAGUGCGGUAGAGGGUAGUGGAAUUCCCGGUGUAGCAGUGAAAUGCGUAGAGAUCGGGAGGAACAUCCGUGGCGAAGGCGCUCUGCUGGACCAUAACUGACACUCAGGGACGAAAGCUAGGGGAGCGAAUGGG